CGCAGUGGGGAUAUUGCACAAUGGGGGAAACCCUGAUGCAGCGACGCAGCGUGCGGGAUGACGGCCUUCGGGUUGUAAACCGCUUUCAGCAGGGAAGAAGCGAAAGUGACGGUACCUGCAGAAGAAGUACCGGCUAACUACGUGCCAGCAGCCGCGGUAAUACGUAGGGUACGAGCGUUGUCCGGAAUUAUUGGGCGUAAAGAGCUCGUAGGUGGUUGGUCACGUCUGCUGUGGAAACGCAACGCUUAACGUUGCGCGGGCAGUGGGUACGGGCUGACUAGAGUGCAGUAGGGGAGUCUGGAAUUCCUGGUGUAGCGGUGAAAUGCGCAGAUAUCAGGAGGAACACCGGUGGCGAAGGCGGGACUCUGGGCUGUAACUGACACUGAGGAGCGAAAGCAUGGGGAGCGAACAGGAUUAGAUACCCUGGUAGUCCAUGCCGUAAACGUUGGGCACUAGGUGUGGGGGACAUUCCACGUUCUCCGCGCCGUAGCUAACGCAUUAAGUGCCCCGCCUGGGGAGUACGGUCGCAAGGCUAAAACUCAAAGGAAUUGACGGGGCCCCC
rnacentral:rRNA from 1 species